rnacentral:lncRNA from 1 species
CACAGAGGUUGAUAGUACAGUGACAAAAACUAAAGUAAUGCUAGGACUUAUCUCUUGCCAAGAAGGGAGUUGAGUUAUCUAAGAGUAAUGGAUAAGCAUUUCUCACGAAGGAGAAGCAUAAUUGUAGAGACAGUAACGAUGAGUACGUUUAGAAAACUAUUCCCAGAGACAGAUUUAUAUAUUUAGCUAACUACAUCCAAAAGUUACAUCUUUGCUUCUUCCAAGGUAAUAUGACAGGCAAAAGGGUGGAAACAAGUAUCAAACCUCAUUUGCAUCUUUGAAGUAACUGAACUCAUCUUUCUUUGGCCAACGUACACGCCAGCAUCUGAAAACCAAAGAAACAAAAUGUAAAGAGAGAAUUCCAACAUACAUAGGUCGGCAAACCACAAUCUUAAUGUCCAAGGACGUAAAGAACUCAGCGGGAUCCUGCAAUUGCCAAUGAUGCUGCCUAAAUUAAGGGUCUCAACAAGGUCAAGAUUUUAAGCCAUCAAAAUCUAGACAAUCCCACAUUAUUGUCAUUUGAAGCAAAAAGCCAAAAACUACCCCAUCUCUAAACCUGCGACUAGUAGGCCUCGUAAAUAAUUUUGCUCAUGUUCACUGAUUAACCAAUCUCAAGAAGAAUGCAAUUACUACAUUAUGACAAAGGAAUUAGUUAACAAAUUGAAACCUGUCUUUUCCAAGUCGACGUGCUAGCUCUUCAGCCAAGGCAUGGCCAGGUGUAUCUGCAUCAGUUCCCAGAAUAAUGCGAGAAACCUACAAGCUUUAUUUAUUUUAGUAGGCUUACUUUCUUUAUUUUUGUGAAGUAAAAUUUAUUAAAAAAAUAAAACAAAAGCAGAAACAUUAAUAUUAAUUUCAUACACCUUAUCCAAAUGCUCUUUGCAGUUCCAUAAAUACUGAUAACCAGUGUCCUGUUACCCACAACAGACACAAAAGAAAAAGUAAAUCAGUACCCGAAAAGCGAUGCCAAGUGACCAGAUUGAGAUGAGAUAAUAAUAAUUCACAUCUCUAAAAUAGGAAGCACAUAAUACUAUAAACAACGAACUGUUAUGCGACUUGCUGGCCAAAAAAGGGGGCUGGUGGGGAGGAAUUGAAAGUUCCAAUAUAAACCUUUUCCCGUGGUGGUAAUUCUCUGUUAGAAACUUUUGGUGGUGCUCCAGAAGGAACACUUACGCAAUUCUGAAAGCCCGCUUCCUCCACUGAAAGCUUGUCUAUUUCACCUUCAACCUAUAAUCAGGAACAAAAUAGUAUAAAUCAGUAGAAAGAUUUUUAAAAAAUUGGGCAAAAGCACCCAAAAUAUGAUCACAGUAUGUACAAUGAUGACUUCAGCAGUUUCAUUUAUGUCAUCAAGUCCAUAUAACCACUUUUCUGUGCCCUUCUCCUGAAAUAGAAGCAUAAAUCCAACAAGAAUUCAGAUUACAGCACAUCCACACUCCAUUUUACAAUGGGAAAAUAGGCACAACAGAAAUAAAAUGGCAUUUUAAUCUACUUUCAAGAAAUUCGUCAGUACUCAUUAGCAUACAGUGAUACAAGAGAUAUAAUCUUCUAAAGCAAAUAACAUCGGUCAAUUUAUUUUUUCUUGCACCAAAUAGUUGACUAGAUUCUAUAAAAUAAUAACAUAUAGUGUCCAAAUGGAUGCAUCUAUCUCUAGCACAAUUCCUGGUGCAUAUACCAUUCCAUUGCAUUGACAUGUAAAAUUUUAAAAUCCUACAUCCAAAAGUUACAUCUUUGCUUCUUCCAAGGUAAUAUGACAGGCAAAAGGGUGGAAACAAGUAUCAAACCUCAUUUGCAUCUUUGAAGUAACUGAACUCAUCUUUCUUUGGCCAACGUACACGCCAGCAUCUGAAAACCAAAGAAACAAAAUGUAAAGAGAGAAUUCCAACAUACAUAGGUCGGCAAACCACAAUCUUAAUGUCCAAGGACGUAAAGAACUCAGCGGGAUCCUGCAAUUGCCAAUGAUGCUGCCUAAAUUAAGGGUCUCAACAAGGUCAAGAUUUUAAGCCAUCAAAAUCUAGACAAUCCCACAUUAUUGUCAUUUGAAGCAAAAAGCCAAAAACUACCCCAUCUCUAAACCUGCGACUAGUAGGCCUCGUAAAUAAUUUUGCUCAUGUUCACUGAUUAACCAAUCUCAAGAAGAAUGCAAUUACUACAUUAUGACAAAGGAAUUAGUUAACAAAUUGAAACCUGUCUUUUCCAAGUCGACGUGCUAGCUCUUCAGCCAAGGCAUGGCCAGGUGUAUCUGCAUCAGUUCCCAGAAUAAUGCGAGAAACCUACAAGCUUUAUUUAUUUUAGUAGGCUUACUUUCU